UCAAAAUAUAAAUAUAAAAAUUAGAGUAGUAAUAGAUAUGUUCUUAAAACUUAAAAAAUUUGGCGGUAUUUUAAUCUAUUCAGAGGAACCUGUUUUAUAAUUGAUAAUCCACAUUGAAUCUUACUUAAAUUUGUUUAACUUGUAUAUCGUUGUCAUAAGAAUAUCUUAAAAAAGUAAUAAUUUUCUAAUUUAAAAAUUAUUAAAUAUGUCAGAUCAAGGUGCAGUUUAUAUUUAAGUAAAAAUGGGUUACAAUAAAAUUAUUUAUUUAUGAAUUAAAAAUUUAAAUAUUUUUAUGAAGGUGGAUUUGAUAGUAAAUUUUUAAAGAUUGUAAAAUUGAUUUUAGUUCUAAAAUAUGC
rnacentral:rRNA from 1 species